rnacentral:piRNA from 1 species
UGUCACACUGUGGUGGAGGGUCCCCUCU